UAUAGCAAAACCUAUUGAAACAGCCAUGGUUUACCAAGAACAGAUGCAAGAUGUUUUUGUUUCCUGAAUACUAUGACAGCUGUCACUGUGAAUGUAGAGGAGGACAACAUGAUAUGGAUGACAGAUGUAUGAGACAGUAAACAAGGUACAGCUGAUUUAACCAGAAGUUUAGCUGAAGACAAGCAGACACAGUCACAAGUUCAGCACUCUAGAAGUAUUGUCAAUGGAGAACUGGCCAGCAAGAAAAACAUCAGCAUAAAGUUUGCCACUAAACUGAGCAUCAACAAGGCCAGAUGCUGUAAAUAGAACUGCAAAAGGAUUUUUCUGUCUUCUGAAAAUUUCUCAGCUACAGAUUGCCUGUUCAAUAUAUUAGGAUAAAACUCAUAAUUACUCAGAGAGUAAGAAGGGUCAUCUAGCCAGGAAGCCUUCUCAGACUUUUGUCCCACUUCCUACGGGACUGCCCUGACUACACUGGACCAUGAGCUCUUCAGAAGCAGGCAAGCAUCUCACCGAUAGUUC